rnacentral:tRNA from 1 species
GGGGGUAUAGCUCAGUGGUAGAGUGUGUGCUUAGCAUGCAUGAGGUCAUGGGUUUAAUCCUCAGUACCACCA